rnacentral:misc_RNA from 1 species
AACGCAUAUUGCGCCCGCUGGUAUUCCAGCGGGCAUGCCUGUUCGAGCGUCAUUUCAACCCUCAAGCUGCAGCUAGCUUGGUGUUGGGGCACAGCCUGUAGAAGGGCUGGCCCUGAAAUUCAGUGGCGGGCUCGCCAGGACUCCGAGCGUAGUAAUUUAUCUUCUCGCUUAGGUUGGCCUGGCGGUCCCCUGCCGUUAAAAAAAAACCCUUUUGUAGCGAUACAAAAAGCUCAGAAAGUUGACCUCGGAUCAGGUAGGAAUACCCGCUGAACUUAA